ACAGUGGCUGCUUCUGCUGCUCAGUGGUAGGGCAUUUGCCUUGCAUAUAGGAGUUCCAAGGUUCAAUCCCUGGCAUCACUGUG